rnacentral:lncRNA from 1 species
AUUACUUUGCUACUCUGAUCAUCUAAUCUAAAUAAUUUAGAUCUAAUCUAAAUUAUUUCAGAUCUAAUUAUUAUAUUUUGAUCAUAUCAAAAUUAAAUAAUAAUUAUUAUAAAUAAAAUUUACAUGCUUCAAUUUAAAAUCAAAUUUUAUAAGGAUUAGCACAAACUAGGACAAUCUUUGCACUAUAAGGGAUAAAUCAUACAGCAGGAUAAUCUUAUAUCAGUUUGUGCAAUCAGAUCUAUAACAAAUUUUAGAUCUAAAUAUCAUAUAUUAGAUCUAAUCUAAAUUAAAUUAUAGAUCUAAAUGUAUAUAAUAUUAUGUCAUAUCGAAUC